AAGUACUAAUUCCACUGAUUAUUUCACUGAUAACGAGACAUUUUCCCAUAAGUAAAAUAAUCUGCCAGUUGAACUAGAACUUUCCUAUCAAUAUUAUGUAAUUAUUGACAAUAUAGCUCCUAUUUGCUGAAAAGUUACCUGUAAUUUAGUUUUGUCUUAUUUCAAGUGUAAUAAGAUAUUUGCUCUAGAAACUACACCAAAAAUACUUGGUAAGAUUUUCUGUGUUUGCAGUGUAUGCACAAAAACCUAACAACGUUUACACAAUUUUUACAUUUUUGAUCGUAUUUCCAAAAAGAUUUCAACAUUUUCAUUGAUUAAGGCAACAAGAUGCACGUGACGAUAAAUGUGGAUUAUUUAAAAACCAGGGAUACGUUUCGUUCCAGGGGAUUUAUUGACUUUAAUCCUGUCUGGCGCUCUGUCGUCACCAAGCAGAAACCCCCUCUGUGCUGUCAGGAGACCUCCAUCUGUGGCGGGAGCUCCACAUUUAAUUUUAAUUAACGCAGCUUUAAUGGAGAGGAGCUCCUCUGCACCUUCUCUCACGAUGCUGCACGGCUUCCUUCUUUGUCUCUGAAGAGAAAAUCCUCUCCGUUCAUUUAAAACCAAGAUGUCAAACCUUUUUAUGACAGUCAAUGAAGAGCACAAAAUGACUUUUUUUAAAGAAACAAAAUGAACUUCCGAUUUCUGCACUGAUUUAAAACUUUAACCUGCUUGUUUGCUGAUAUAUCACUGAGUCUUCUUUGUAGCAUUUCUUUUAAAAAACGUCUUUGAAAUCGUUUGAUCGCCUGAUUUAGUUGUAGCUUAAAGGUGACCUAUUAUGCUUCCUGGAGCAGUUUAGGAUAGUUUUAUGGGUAAAACCAGCUAACCAAUCGUCCUGGAGCUCCACUUGGGUUCCUAGGUGACGGGCCGAACUCGGCUGUGGUUGCUAGGUAACGGCGCAGUGCCAAUGGAAUGUGGCUCAACAAUUGAGAGAUAUUUGAAACUACUCUUUUGCCAAAUACCAAAAAACAUUAACUUACCAGAAAAUGGGUAAGCGCUUGGUGUUUUUUAGAAGCAGCGGAAACCCAAACGGAAGUAUAAAAAUGUAUAAUAGGUCUCCUUUAAUGAACAGCAGAUCUGCUGCAAGUUUUCUUCCAGCUUAUUAUUGAUUUUCAAAUAAUCUCAGUCUUUUCAAGCUACAUCCAAAAUCAGGGAGUUUGAAGUUGUAAAAGAUGAGCAAAAAAAAAAGAAAAAAAAGAAGCAAUAAUAACUGAUUUUUAUUAUUAUCUGUUUGUAAUUUCAGGCUGAAAAAAAGCCGCAGACCAGCUCAGAUAUUAUAAACUCUGCACUAUGGGCUGAACUUCUUUGUAACAAUAUUGCUGCAACCAGCUUUUACUGUAUGAUUGAAAACUGAAAUCAGGAUUUUAUUUGCACAUUUGCUGAAUAUUUGAGGCUGAUAGUUGACUUUUUAUUAAAUCCUCACAUAAUGUUUGAUUUUUUAAAAAUAAUUAAUUUGUCCCUUUAAAUUAUUUCCCAUCAGAACAUUAACAAAUGUGCUUCUGUUAUAUAAAGAUCAUCCAAUAGAUUUUAAUAUCAAGAAAAAAUCAACUGAGUAGAUACAAAACACAGUUUCCAAAUAAUUAUUUCAUUUAGUAAGGGAUAGCCAAACUAACCUGAUCCUGUGUGAAAAUUUAAUUGACCUCAAAAACUAAUUGGCCACAAUUCAUCACAAUAAAGAGAGAAAUAAAGAGAUCUUUUUUUACAUAAGUUACUUUUUUUCUGCAAUUCUACCACAUCUUUCAAAAUCUUAGGUAUCAUAAAGGUACUUCCAAGAAAUUUACAAACAUGAUUAUGCAACUUAUUACUAAUGAAAACUAACUAUGAUGCUUGAACUAUUAUGUCACAUUUUUAAAUGUUACACUAUUGAUAUUUAAUAACGCUUGUUUAGGGAUGAAAAAUUGGGUUUUCUACAAGUUCUCAAUUUUUCCCCUCUGAAUAAUAAGGUAUUUUCAUACUUCAUUUGUAAUUUUUUAUGAUGCAGUUGAAGUUAACCCAUCUACAAACACACCCACGGAUAUUUUCAAAGACAUAGAGGCCUUGGCGACAUGAAAACAAUCGUUAUAUUUGUUGAUGUUUCGAAAAACGGUUGUUGUCUAUGCUGUUGUUUCCAGAUGUUUGUUCAUCCACUCAAAAAACUCUGAAUAUAACGCAAAAUACUGUAGUAACUACUCCAGGCCUGUGUGUGGCGCUGUGGCGCCACCGCAGAAAUACACCAAAGCAGAGAAGAGUCGUUCGGUGAAGUAGGCUGCAACGUCAAAAAACAACUCAUAAAACAUGGUUAUAGCGGCACUAAAAUACAAUUUGCGCCCGUGAAAUGUUGUUUUAAAGCCAGUUCACAAACCAGAAACAAUAAAAAAAUACCUGUCUUUUUUUUAUGGUUGCAUGUAGACGGCACCAAAAACAGGUAACAUUAGCAACGGUUAGCUAGCUAGCUCAAAUCAUCCGUUCGAUUGAAACUUUAGCUUGCUAGCUAACGGCCUUUAGUCACAGGAGGGUCGCUUCACAUUAAUUUUAUUUAGCUGUUACAACAUUGAUCAAACAGUUAUCUUCAAGGACAAACUGAAAAAUGCCAGCUAAUGUAUGAUUUGGCUAAAUAACUGCUGUUCCUGAUCACUUCUUGAUUAUUUAAUGAUACAAUGAAUAAGUCGAAUAAAUCUGAACGUACAUUUUACAAAUUUACAGCAGAAUAAAUUCCACAACUUUAAAAGUUCAGUUUUCAUUGGGAACAUGAAGGAUAUUAAGAGCUGCUAAUGUUCCGUUAAGGUUGAUUAUUGUCUAUGUAAAAAGUCACAUUUUGUAAGAUAUAACUUUCUUUUUUAAAUUUGCAGUGUCGCAAUGUUUGAAACAUUUUUUCUCCAGUUUGUGAGUGUUUGCACAUUUGUCAUGAAUACUGAGAGCAUGGAUAAAAUAGCACCAAUGCUGGCAGAGCUAAAUCACAUUGUGAGUUAUUUGUACUGUGAGAUUUUGAGAGGACGUGAAACAAAUGUAUUAAUUUGUAAUUUAUUUACAUGUUUAUGCACAUUGAAAAAAAAAGCAUUUUCUAGGCAGAAUCCAAUGCUGUAAUCACUGUUUAUAUAGAAAUAUGAGUUCCUGCGUGGUUUGCUGAUUUUACUUGACUUCAGAUGUAUCUGUUCAUGUUUUUUAUGCAUUAUGGGAACACCAAAACAAAAACACUGCUGAUUUUCUGUGCAACUAAUGCUAAUGCAAACUAUAAUAAGCUAAGCUGCUGGUAAGGUGAGCAGAUUCCCCUGCUUUGUUUUGCUUUAGGUUAGUUUCAACACCAUGACGGGUUUAUAGAAAAUUUCUGAGUCAAACUGACUCAAAGCAGGUCGAUUCAUCUCACCUUACCAGCUGAUGAUUUUUAUUUCUUGUUUAAAUAACAAUAAUAAUAAAAAAAAUAAGGUUGUUAGACUAAUAUGUGGAUGGUGAUGUAUGUGUGUGCAUUUUGGAUUAACUUGUAUGAACUCACACGGCUGCAAAUACACAAUGCAACUGCAAAGUUGUGAAAUAAAAUAAAGAAGACCUUGACAUUUACUUAAAUGAUGCCAAAAUUCA